UGUCUUGCAGGAACCUCGGGAAGUCUGGGCUGCGCGUGUCCUGCCUGGGCCUGGGGACAUGGGUGACUUUCGGAGGGCAAAUCACAGAUGAGAUGGCAGAGCAGCUGAUGACUUUAGCCUACGACAACGGCAUUAAUCUCUUCGACACGGCAGAAGUCUAUGCUGCUAGAAAG